rnacentral:rRNA from 1 species
GUAGGUGGCAAGCGUUGUUCGGAAUUAUUGGGCGUAAAGCGCGCGCAGGCGGGUUCUUUAAGUCUGAUGUGAAAGCCCACGGGCUCAACCGUGGAGGGUCAUUGGAAACUGGAGAACUUGAGUACAGAAGAGGAAAGCGGAAUUCCACGUGUAGCGGUGAAAUGCGUAGAGAUGUGGAGGAACACCAGUGGCGAAGGCGGCUUUCUGGUCUGUAACUGACGCUGAGGCGCGAAAGCGUGGGGGGCAAACAGGAUUAGAUACCCUGGUAGUCCACGCCGUAAACGAUGAGUGCUAAGUGUUAGGGGGUUUCCGCCCCUUAGUGCUGCAGCUAACGCAUUAAGCACUCCGCCUGGGGAGUACGGCCGCAAGGCUG